AAAUAUAAUGGGAAAAUGUGCUGUAGUAAAAGUGCAGAAAAAACUGUGGUUGUGCUAAAAGUAGCAAUAAGUGGAACAUCAGCGAAGGGAAAUGUCAUUACCUAUUACCUGGAUAAUACAGUCUUUAAUCUAACAAAUACCAAAGCCAAGGCUCUGUCUGACACUGAUGGGUGGGGGUACAUAGGGGUCUGCUUACCCUUUCCUGAUUUUCCUGUCUUUGAUUUUUCUGACUGUGAUGUUUGAAGCAUUUAUGUAAACCCUGGAUUUAUUGUUUGCUUUAUUGCCAUACAUAGUAAGAAAAACCUCAACCAUGAUGUAUUACUCACUUAAUCUUUAUCGUCAUAGGUGUCAGAGACACAGACAAACAUCUUCCACUCACAUCUAUUGUCAGUUCUGAGUCUCUUAGAGAGAACCCACACACACGGGGAGACCACGCAGAGAGUAGCCUUCCGUCCACACUCCAAACCGCCUGUCAACAUCCAAUCAGGACCACUCAACUUUCAGACAAACUGCCUGUGGUUUUCACAGUUCAGUCCACCGGCCUCCGGAGGCGCUGUGCUUCUGUUUUGACUGGUGGUGCCACUUCCUGUUCCCCACUUCCUGCUUCCUGUUACUUACAUCUGCUGACUUCUUUCACACACCACAUUUGUCUGGUAUUCAUAUUUCUACUCCGGGUUUUCUAGUUUUCGUGUGUAGCUGCUACUCUGGUUCGUGUUCCCUGUUUCCUCGUUUGUUUCUUCAGGUCAUCCGAGUGUUAGUGCAGCCAGACGCCGUCCUCUAUACAGCCAUGUAACUACUCUCUUUUACAUGGGGUUCAUUUCCGUCAGCACUCUGGCAGGAGACUAAUAGCUCGGCGACGUUAUUAAGAUGACAAGGCUCGAGUACAAUUUGCUCAAUGUGAAGAGCACACUCAACUUCCUGUUGACUCACAGCGAGCGGGAAUUGGUAUCAAGCACUAAGAGAAGGAGGGGCCAGAGGAUGACAUUUCCAUUGUGUACCAACAACCCAAAAGUCAACCCAAACAGCUGCAGCAACACAAGCCUCCGUCAUCUGUCCGUCGUUCAGUCUGUGAAAUGAAAGCCACAGUUUGGUUUGAGAGAAAGAAUCAUUAGACACGUUAUUAAGGAAAACCUAAAAUUGCUUUGUGCACCCUGGAUAAUCGACAUGGACUUAUUAUUUUACUGAUUUGUCAUACUGUCACUAUUAAAGGCCUUAAAAUGUAUUUUUAAUGAGCCCUUUCAUGAACGAUCUUGUCCUACAUUUCCGUUCUUGAUUUUCACACUAAACUACCUUGAAUUUGAUGGAUUUGAUAAAACUUCCAGACAACCAGAUAAAGGUAUUUUGUUAAUUUUUUUUAAUAUUUUCCCUUGUAGCCAUGGAUGCAGAGUAGGUUUAUACAGUGCCACCUGCCAGUCAAGGAAUCUUAUGAUUCUGUAAAGAGAUAAAUCUGGUGGAAAUGCUUUUAAAUCAUCACUGCUCAUUUGCAGUGGGACAGAAGCAAAGUAGGUUCCUGGCUAAUGUGCUGAGUGGUAUUCAAUCAAGUGACUGGGUGGGGUUUGGGUCCGAUAUCCAGCUUUUCCCAGCACAUGUAGAAAUCACCCCCUGGAGCUGAAUUAGUGCAUCAGCUCAGCAUCAAAGGCUGAGACCAAAUGAAACUUUUAGAAAUGGAGUUUCGGCC